rnacentral:rRNA from 1 species
UACAGAGGGUGCGAGCGUUGUUCGGAAUUAUUGGGCGUAAAGGGCGCGUAGGCGGUUUGGUAAGUCUGAUGUGAAAUCUAUGGGCUCAACUCAUAGUCUGCAUCGGAAACUGCCGGGCUUGAGUGUGGGAGAGGUGAGUGGAAUUCCCAGUGUAGAGGUGAAAUUCGUAGAUAUUGGGAAGAACACCGGUGGCGAAAGCGGCUCACUGGACCAUAACUGACGCUGAUGCACGAAAGCUAGGGGAGCAAACAGG